GAUGAACGCUAGCGGCAGGCUUAACACAUGCAAGUCGAGGGCGAUUGAUAUUAGCAAUAGUAUUAAUUGACCGGCGGAAGGGUGCGUAACGCGUGAGUAACAUACCCGUUACAGAGGGAUAGUCGAUGGAAACGUCGUAUAAUACCUCAUAGUAUAGAUUUAUCCCCUGAUAGAUUUAUUAAAUCGUAAGAGGUAACGGAGUGGCUCGCGUCCCAUUAGUUAGUUGGCGUGGUAACGGCACACCAAGACAACGAUGGGUAGGGGUUCUGAGAGGAAGGUCCCCCACACUGGAACUGAGACACGGUCCAGACUCCUACGGGAGGCAGCAGUGAGGAAUAUUGGUCAAUGGGCGGAAGCCUGAACCAGCCAUGCCGCGUGCAGGAAUAGAUCCCUAUGGGACAUAAACUGCUUUUGAUACUGAUCAAGAGCAUAUACGUGUAUAUGAGUGAGAGUAAGUAUCGAAUAAGCAUCGGCUAACUCCGUGCCAGCAUCCGCGGUAAUACGGGGGGAUGCAAGCGUUAUCCAGAAUUAUUGGGUUUAAAGGGCGCAUAGGCUGUGCGGUGCGUCUGUGGUUAAAGGCCUCUGCUUAAUGUGGCGUAUGCCAUAGAAACUGCCGUGCUUGAUAUUGAUUGCCUUGUGAUGGAUUGUGUGGUUGUAGCGGUGAAAUGCUUAUAUGUCACCUGUAACUGCCAAUUGUUAUGGUUUUGACGUGGUUAUAUGCUGAGCCUGUGGUGUGAGUGCUUGUGGAUCGUAUAGUAUGAGAUUGCUUGGGUGUGUCAAGUGUGAGUCUGCUGAUGUGUUAUUCUUAUCGGAUGCCGCCGACCUCAUGGUAAAACACAGAUCUAAAUGUUUUUAUCUGUAUGUGUACUACAAUUUUAAUUAUGCCCCUUGAUGUGUGUGUG
rnacentral:rRNA from 1 species